GCCGACCCUGUGCGAUCUAACGGGUCUGUGGGAGGUAAUUGGCAGAAGGCGGUCUCUCCUUGGUAUGGACAAUGGUGACAACUAUACGACUUUUGGACUGAAACCCCCAGAAUUCCUGGGAUAGCAUGGGUGGCUGGGGAAUUUUGGGAGCUGCAUCCCGCAGGUCGCAAAAUUGCCAGAAUUGCCCACCCCGGCUCUGUUUGCGUAAGGGGGGAUAACAUUUUGGGUGCUCAGAACGUCUCUUCUCAACCUCCAAUUCUGUUGUGCGUGCUUUCUUUCGUUUUUGAAAUUGUUCUAGCAAGGCAGACUUGACGAAUCCGUUUGUGACUCUGAAUCCAAAUGCGACUGGCGUCUUCACCGGCCCUUAUCCUUUCGGCAUAGAUCCGAUGUGGAGCCUUGCAAGCAACCGCCUCACCUUCCUCAAUUCCUUCAAAAUGAAAAUGUCAAUCAUUAUCGGAAUGGUGCACAUGGUCUUUGGGAUUGCUCUGGGGGGCUUUAACUACAUGUAUUUCAGGAAGACGUACAAUAUUUACUUGGUGUUCAUUCCUCAACUUCUGUUCCUUCUGUCCAUUUUUGGCUACCUGGUGUUCAUGAUCAUCUUUAAAUGGCUGGCUUACGGCGCUGAAAAUUCCAGUUCUGCUCCCAGUAUCCUGCUUCAAUUUAUUAACAUGUUUCUGUUCCAUGAUAACAAGAACCAAAUCCUCUUCUCAGGGCAGGUGGGUCAUCCUUAGAACC